UGACUCGCUGUUGUUUUGCAGCUUCUCACGGACUUAAAAAAAAAUAUAUAUAUAUAUAGAUAUAUAUAUAUUUUUUUUAAUCUUAUAAAUAUAUAUGUCUUAUUCCUCUAGUGAUAUAUAGCAUAAUGAAUACUAAGGAAACAUUUUCUCAGCCAAUUUAAACAAAUAUGCAAACAAACUGAGUGGUAGCCCCUUCAUCAUUCACAAAGAUACAAGCAAGAAGACCAAAAAAAUAACACUGCCAACGGAGUAAGAUAGUCCAGGGAAAAGAAGUGGAAAGUAGUGAUGGGUCCAGCGACACCGAUGCAUUGACACACGCGCCGGGCUCACAGAGCAAACCACGUGUCGAUGCAUGUGCUGCUUCAUUACAUCACGUGAUUGACACGUGAACUGCAUUGACACAGUCCAGGCUUCUAAUUGACACACCGGCUGCGUUGACACAGUCCAGGCUGCUAAUUGACACAUCGACUGUGUUGACACAGUCCAGGCUGCUAAUUGACACAUCGGCUGCGUUGACACAGUCCAGGCUGCUAAUUGACACGUGAACUGCACCGGUGCAGUUUAGACCGCAUCGGCUGCUUGGCACAGUACAGGCUGCGCCACUUAGUCCAGGGGGCGUCGACUCAGUGCAGAGGGCGUUGACGCAGCAAAAGCCCGCCGCACAGUGUUUAUAAGGAAGUGGGUUUGGCGACACAAUGCCACUGGCCGAAACAAGCCAGACCUCACUCACGCUCGCUUGUCGAAGUUCGUGUCAGUGCAGACUUCGUGUUCGUGCCUUGCCUUCCUUGCCGAUUAUGGAGCAGAGACGCAAAUCAUCCGCCGUGUGGGACCAUUUUGAUGUCCCGGAGAAUAAGGUGAAAUGUCGAAUUUGCCGGGUCGAAUUGUCAUACACCAACAGAAGCACCUCCACCAUGCUGAGGCAUUAUCGGGCCAAGCAUGAGAAUGAAGUUCGCGAUACACCCAGUAUUACGCCAGGUUCCAGGAAGCAGCUGUACUGGAAGGACCAACACACUUCUUUCCCAAACCUCUCCCACCUCGCAAAGGAGUUCCUUUGUACGCCAGCCUCAUCCGUCCCUUGUGAGCGUGUGUUCUCCACAGCAGGAGAAAUCGCUUGUAAAAGACGCAACAGGCUGAAGUUUAAAACAUUGGAGCAUCUUAUUUUUCUCAAUAAAAAU